UGGGGAAUAUUGGACAAUGGGCGCAAGCCUGAUCCAGCCAUGCCGCGUGAGUGAUGAAGGCCCUAGGGUUGUAAAGCUCUUUUGGCGGGGAAGAUAAUGACGGUACCCGCAUAAUAAGCCCCGGCUAACUUCGUGCCAGCAGCCGCGGUAAUACGAAGGGGGCUAGCGUUGCUCGGCAUCACUGGGCGUAAAGCGCAAGUAGGCGGAUUCUUAAGUCAGAGGUGAAAGCCUGGAGCUUAACGCCAGAACUGCCUUUGAUACUGGGAGUCUCGAGUUCGGGAGAGGUGAGUGGAAGUGCAAGUGUAGAGGUGAAAUUCGUAGAUAUUCGCAAGAACACCAGUGGCGAAGGCGGCUCACUGGCCCGAUACUGACGCUGAGGUGCGAAAGCGUGGGGAGCAAACA
rnacentral:rRNA from 1 species